rnacentral:rRNA from 1 species
AGGACGAGGAUAACUAUUGGAAACGAUAGCUAAUACUGGAUAGGAUAUUAGAUCGCAUGAUCUUAUAUUUAAAGAAGCUUUCAAGCUUCACCUUUGGAUGGUCUUGCGCUGUAUUAGCUAGUUGGUGAGGUAACGGCUCACCAAGGCGACGAUACAUAGCUGGUCUGAGAGGACGAACAGCCACACUGGGACUGAGACACGGCCCAGACUCCUACGGGAGGCAGCAGUAGGGAAUUUUCGGCAAUGGGCGCAAGCCUGACCGAGCAAUGCCGCGUGAACGAUGAAGGCCUUCGGGUCGUAAAGUUCUGUUAUUUGGGAAGAACAACAUAGUCUAAGGAAAUGAUUCU